GUGUUCGCUUUAGCAGCACACGUACUAAAAAUUGGAACGAUAUAGAGAAGAUUAGCAUGCCUCUGGGCAAAAACGACAUGCAGAUUGUAAAUCACUCCGUAUUUUA